GCCAGAGAUGGAACCUCAAAAUUUAAGUGUUAGAAUACAUAUGGAUUAUAACUAGAUCUCCCCUGCAAAAUAUUUCCCUCGCUCAUAAACCAAGCACUUAAAUUCACAUGCUCCAAUUUUAAAUAAACAAAAGAAUUGAUCUAUCAAAUGCUAAUAUACAGUAUCAUCAUUCCUGUCCAUUUAUUGCUGUCUAAAGGACUCCUUGGACCUGGAAUUUGGAAAAGCUAUGGGACUAGGACAGUCCAUGGUUCAAACGAGAUUAAUUGUGAAGGACACAUAAGGAUAAGCAUCAGCAUCGCCUCCAAAAGCUGCCAUCCCUCCGCCCACUUCAUCUUCAGAUUUCCAGUAUGUGCUGUUUGCACUGUCACACAAUCCUUCAAGGAUGGAACGCACUUUCUUCUCACCUUUCACAGAAGGAGCUAAAACACAAGCCAAGAAAGACGGUGGCAAUCCAUAUCUUAGAAUGCUCUCUGAAAAAAUACGUAUUGCACAAAAGUGCAUCCAGCAGCUGAAAACCUCUCCAUAACUGGUAUAGCUCCAUUGCAAAAGAGAGCUUCUAAAGCUUUCUUGGUCUUGCAUUAAUCUUUCCAAUUCUUGCUUCCUACUCUCUUGUGCUUCUGGACUAUACUCAAAAUCACGAAUUUGGAAACCUUUUUCACGUGCACUUGUUCUAAAGUUGUC
rnacentral:misc_RNA from 1 species